rnacentral:rRNA from 1 species
GUGAGGAAUAUUGGACAAUGGAUGGAAAUCUGAUCCAGCCAUGCCGCGUGCAGGAAGACGGCCCUAUGGGUUGUAAACUGCUUUUAUACGGGAGCAAUAAGUUCUAUGCAUAGAUUGAUGAGAGUACCGUAUGAAUAAGCAUCGGCUAACUCCGUGCCAGCAGCCGCGGUAAUACGGAGGAUGCGAGCGUUAUCCGGAUUUAUUGGGUUUAAAGGGUGCGUAGGCGGCUUUGUAAGUCAGCGGUGAAAUUUUGCAGCUUAACUGUAAAAGCGCCGUUGAUACUGUGAAGCUAGGAUUUGGUUGCUGUGGGCGGAAUGUGUGGUGUAGCGGUGAAAUGCAUAGAGAUCACACAGAAUAUCGAUUGCGAAGGCAGCUCACAAAGCCAAUAUUGACGCUGAGGCACGAAAGUGUGGGGAUCAAACAGGAUUAGAAACCCGGGUAGUCC